rnacentral:tRNA from 1 species
GUGCUAGUGGUGCAAUGGGUAACGCAUCCGGUUCUGAAUCGGAGUAUCGUAGAUUCGACUCCUUCAUGGCUCG